rnacentral:rRNA from 1 species
UUCUUAUUGAGAAAAUAAUAAGUAAAGCCUGCUCCAUGUAUUAUAAAUAGCCGCAGAAAUUUUACUGUGCUAAGGUAGCAUAAUCACUAGUCUUUUAAUUAAAGACUCGUAUGAAAGGCUAAACAUCUCAAAAACUUUUUUUCUCAGAAACACUAAAUUAAAUUAAGCAUAAAAUGUGCUUAUUAAAAAAUUAGACGACAAGACCCUCUUGAACUUCACUUUAGUUUAGCUGGGGCAGCUAAUUAAUAAUUAUUUUAAUUAAAUUAAUAUCCAUAAAUCACCCAAUAAUAUUGACUUAACCAAGUUACCACAGGGAUAACAGCGUAAUUUUUUUUAAAAGCCGUAUUUAAAAAAAAGAUUACGACCUCGAUGUUGAAUUAGUGUGGCUUCUUGGUGCAACAACUUCAAAAGCAGGUCUGUUCGACCUUUAAAUCACUACA